UCGGGAAUAUUGCGCAAUGGAGGAAACUCUGACGCAGUGACGCCGCGUAUAGGAAGAAGGUUUUCGGAUUGUAAACUAUUGUCCACAGGGAAGAAAAGGACUGUACCUGUGAAGAAAGCUCCGGCUAACUACGUGCCAGCAGCCGCGGUAAUACGUAGGGAGCAAGCGUUAUCCGGAAUUAUUGGGUGUAAAGGGUGCGUAGACGGGAUAACAAGUUAGUUGUGAAACCCCUCGGCUUAACUGAGGAACUGCAACUAAAACUAUUAUUCUUGAGUGCAGGAGGGGAAAGUGGAAUUCCUAGUG
rnacentral:rRNA from 1 species